rnacentral:rRNA from 1 species
AUUGAACGCUGGCGGCAGGCCUAACACAUGCAAGUCGAGCGGAUGAAGGGAGCUUGCUCCUGGAUUCAGCGGCGGACGGGUGAGGAAUGCCUAGGAAUCUGCCUGGUAGUGGGGGAUAACGUCCGGAAACGGGCGCUAAUACCGCAUACGUCCUGAGGGAGAAAGUGGGUGAUCUUCGUACCUCACGCUAUCAGAUGAGCCUAGCUCGGAUUAGCUAGUUGGUGGGGUAAAGGCCUACCAAGGCGACGAUCCGUAACUGGACUGAGAGGAUGAUCAGUCACACUGGAACUGAGACACGGUCCAGGCUCUUAAGGGAGGCAGCAGUGGGGAAUAUUGGACAAUGAGCGAAAGCCUGAUCCAGCCAUGCCGCGUGUGUGCAGAAGGUCUUCGGAUUGUAAAGCACUUUAAGUUGGGAGGAAGGGCAGUAAGUUAAUACCUUGCUGUUUUGACGUUACCAACAGAAUAAGCACCGGCUAACUUCGUG